rnacentral:rRNA from 1 species
AAUGAACGUUGGCGGCGUGGAUUAGGCAUGCAAGUCGAGCGAGAACCGUAGCAAUACGGGGACAGCGGCGAAAGGGAGAGUAAUGCGUGGAUACCUACCCUCGGGUUCGGGAUAGCUACGGGAAACUGUAGGUAAUACCGAAUAAUAUCUCCGGAUCAAAGGUGUGAUUCCGCCGGAGGAGGGGUCCACGUCCUAUUAGCUAGUUGGCGAGGUAGCGGCUCACCAAGGCGAAGAUGGGUAUGGGGUGUGAGAGCAUGCCCCCACUCACUGGGACUGAGACACUGCCCAGACACCUACGGGUGGCUGCAGUCGAGAAUCUUCGGCAAUGGGGGAAACCCUGACCGAGCGACGCCGCGUGCGAGAUGAAGGCCUUCGGGUUGUAAAUCGCUGUCAGAGGGGAGGAAAUGCUAGUGGGUUCUCCCAUUAGUUUGACCUAUCCUCAGAGGAAGGACGGGCUAAGUUCGUGCCAGCCGCCGCUGUAA